AACUCCACGACUUUGGAAGGCGGCACCAGGCUCACGGAGACGUUCCCCAUUCCGGUGGAGUUGUGCCGGAAGUAAACGCUAAACGUGCCAUUCCCGUGGUCCACGAUCUUUCCUGUGAUCAAAAACAGCUCCCUUUGAAGAAGAAUCAGGAGCUGGCAAGACGCUGCUUCCUUUCUCUCUGAGACGCUCUGAAGACAGGUAAACCAAUAACUUAAAGAAAGGAAAUAGGUGAACCAGAUCCAUGUUUGUUAGACCUAAACAGGUUAGUUCUUUUCCUCUUAUACUGGCUUGGUAUUUUCUGUUAUUCUUUUCUUAGUCUUGUGUUUAUCUUAACUUUUGUUGUUGUUUUUUUAAUCUAAAUACAUCAU